rnacentral:sRNA from 1 species
UGCUCCAGGCCUAUCUCAUCCCACGCUUUGUGUAUUUGCUCCCAGAGCUCAUCAAGCGACGUAGCGACUCUGGGGAAAGCCACGACCCCGUCUUUAAGAGAUACCAUAUAUCCUCUAUGACAUUUAGGUCGGGAGAAGAGGGGGGAUGGUUGAGGGUGUCAAUCCCCAUUUCUGCUCUGGCUGCUUUCGCAACGGCAGCGCGAUGUGAGGGAGCUCCAUCCUCCAACACAAAGCUGUUUUCGAAACCGGAGGACCUCAGCGACCUAAGGAUACCACCCUCGCCCCCCAAGACGCCUUUGAUCACCAUCUUGGUGUACCUAAGCCCAUUGAGGGACUCGGCCUUAGACCUGACGCCAUUUUUGACCGUCGAUGGAGCUAGAGGAAGGCGUAAAAGAGGGAAUUUUUGGUAGUAGCUAAUCGCUCCCCAAACCAUCAGGCUCUGUCGACCAGAAUGGAAGGUUGGUAGGAUGUGUUGUGGAGCGUACACUUCGCCUGCACGCCGGGUAGCCCUUGGCCGCCUCGUACUUGUCCCCCCAGCUCCAGUGCACAUUCAUCAGUGAAAACACUGUCCUGUCAGUCCCUCUUCAUGUUGUUUCUGGCCCACUCUUUCCUUUUAGCCACAGUCUUGGGCGAAAGAUAAGGCUUACGCCUCAUAAUUCUGCGGUAAAACCCAUGCUCAUGAGCGAUCUUGACAAUAGUUGUCGUGCUGACACUGUAUCUCUUCGCAUGAACGCUCCAGGGUUCACACGGACUGCGAACAAAGUGCCUCAGAAGAUUCCUUACUUGCCCCUGAUCCAACACCUUUGGCCUUCCAGGGGUUGGGAAUGGAUAAGUGUGUCCAUGGUGCGCAUACCUUUGACACCAGCGCUUAUUGUACACUUGGGACGCUUAUAUUGUUUUGCAAGAUUGCUGAAUGAUUUCCCACUUUUGCGGACUUCCACAGCAGUUCGUUUGGUAGUGGGGGUGGCCUGGGGUUCCAUUAUGGAAAAUAAUCAGAUAGUUAUAAGUACAUGCAUGAACAAUUCAAGAUC